rnacentral:rRNA from 1 species
AGUGAACGCUGGCGGUAGGCCUAACACAUGCCAGUCGAACGGCAGCACAGGAGAGCUUGCUCUCUGGGUGGCGAGUGGCGGACGGGUGAGGAAUACAUCGGAAUCUGCCUAGUCGUGGGGGAUAACGUAGGGAAACUUACGCUAAUACCGCAUACGACCUUCGGGUGAAAGAGGGGGAUCGCAAGACCUCUCGCGAUUGGAUGAGCCGAUGUCGGAUUAGCUAGUUGGCGGGGUAAUGGCCCACCAAGGCGACGAUCCGUAGCUGGUCUGAGAGGAUGAUCAGCCACACUGGAACUGAGACACGGUCCAGACUCCUACGGGAGGCAGCAGUGGGGAAUAUUGGACAAUGGGCGCAAGCCUGAUCCAGCCAUACCGCGUGGGUGAAGAAGGCCUUCGGGUUGUAAAGCCCUUUUGUUGGGAAAGAAAUCUUUCAGGCUAAUACCCUGGGAGGAUGACGGUACCCAAAGAAUAAGCACCGGCUAACUUCGUG